CCCUUAGAUGUUCUGGGCCGCACGCGCGCUACACUGACGAAUGCAACGAGCUUAUAACCUUGGCCGAAAGGUCUGGGUAAUCUCCAAAUUUCGUCGUGAUGGGGAUAGAUUAUUGCAAUUAUUAAUCUUCAACGAGGAAUGCCUAGUAAGCGCAAGUCAUCAGCUCGUGCUGAUUACGUCCCUGCCCUUUGUACACACCGCCCGUCGCUCCUACCGAUUGAGUGUUCCGGUGAAUAAUUCGGACUGCAGUAGCGUGGGGACUCCUCACCUGCAGCGGAAAGUUUGGUGAACCUUAACACUUAGAGGAAGGAGAAGUCGUAACA
rnacentral:rRNA from 1 species